rnacentral:rRNA from 1 species
UACGGGGGGGGCAAGCGUUGUUCGGAAUUACUGGGCGUAAAGGGCUCGUAGGCGGCCAACUAAGUCGGAUGUGAAAUCCCCAGGCUCAACUUGGGAACUGCAUCCGAUACUGGAUGGCUUGAAUUCGGGAGAGGGAUGCAGAAUUCCAGGUGUAGCGGUGAAAUGCGUAGAUAUCGUAAGGAAGACCAGUGGCGAAGGCGGGUCUCUGGACAGUUCCUGACGCUGAGGCACGAAGGUCAGGGGAGCAAACGGG